rnacentral:rRNA from 1 species
GUAGGGAAUAUUGGACAAUGGGGGGAACCCUGAUCCAGCCAUGCCGCGUGGAGGAAGACUGCCCUCUGGGUUGUAAACUCCUUUUAUAUGGGAAGAACCGUCCUCAUUAAUGAUUGACCUGACGGUACCAUAGGAAUAAGCACCGGCUAACUCCGUGCCAGCAGCCGCGGUAAUACGGAGGGUGCAAGCGUUAUCCGGAUUCACUGGGUUUAAAGGGUGCGUAGGCGGAUAAAUAAGUCAGUGGUGAAAUCAACGGGCUCAACCUGUUAACUGACAUUGAUACUGUGUAUCUUGAAUAUGAGAUAGGUAGGCGGAAUGUUGCAUGUAGCGGUGAAAUGCUUAGAUAUGCUACGGAACACCGAUUGCGAAGGCAGCUUACUAUUUCGUAAUUGACGCUGAGGCACGAAAGCGUGGGUAGCGAACAGGAUUAGAAACCCCUGUAGUCC